rnacentral:rRNA from 1 species
UACGUAGGGCGCGAGCGUUGUCCGGAAUUAUUGGGCGUAAAGAGCUCGUAGGCGGUUCGUUGCGUCGGCUGUGAAAUCCCGAGGCUCAACCUCGGGUCUGCAGUCGAUACGGGCGGACUGGAGUUCGGCAGGGGAGAGUGGAAUUCCUGGUGCAGCGGUGAAAUGCGCAGAUAUCAGGAGGAACACCGGUGGCGAAGGCGGGUCUCUGGGCCGAUACUGACGCUGAGGAGCGAAAGCGUGGGGAGCGAACAGG